AUUGAACGCUGGCGGCAUGCCUUACACAUGCAAGUCGAACGGCAGCACGGGGCAACCUGGUGGCGAGUGGCGAACGGGUGAGUAAUGCAUCGGAACGUACCUUUCAGUGGGGGAUAACGUAGCGAAAGUUACGCUAAUACCGCAUAUUCUGUGAGCAGGAAAGCGGGGGAUCGCAAGACCUUGCGCUGAUUGAGCGGCCGAUGUCAGAUUAGCUAGUUGGUGAGGUAAAGGCUCACCAAGGCGACGAUCUGUAGCGGGUCUGAGAGGAUGAUCCGCCACACUGGAACUGAGACACGGUCCAGACUCCUACGGGAGGCAGCAGUGGGGAAUUUUGGACAGUGGGGGCAACCCUGAUCCAGCCAUGCCGCGUGAGUGAAGAAGGCCUUCGGGUUGUAAAGCUCUUUCGGCCGGGAAGAAAUCGCACGGGCUAAUACCCUGUGUGGAUGACGGUACCGGAAUAAGAAGCACCGGCUAACUACGUGCCAGCCGCCGCGGUAAAAC
rnacentral:rRNA from 1 species